AUGCACGCUGGCGGCGUGCCUAAUACCUGCAAGUCGAGCGAACAGACGAGGAGCUUGCUCCUCUGACGUUAGCGGCGGACGGGUGAGUAACACGUGGAUAACCUACCUAUAAGACUGGGAUAACUUCGGGAAACCGGAGCUAAUACCGGAUAAUAUAUUGAACCGCAUGGUUCAAUAGUGAAAGACGGUUUUGCUGUCACUUAUAGAUGGAUCCGCGCCGCAUUAGCUAGUUGGUAAGGUAACGGCUUACCAAGGCAACGAUGCGUAGCCGACCUGAGAGGGUGAUCGGCCACACUGGAACUGAGACACGGUCCAGACUCCUACGGGAGGCAGCAGUAGGGAAUCUUCCGCAAUGGGCGAAAGCCUGACGGAGCAACGCCGCGUGAGUGAUGAAGGUCUUCGGAUCGUAAAACUCUGUUAUUAGGGAAGAACAAAUGUGCAAGUAACUAUGCACGUCUUGACGGUACCUAAUCAGAAAGCCACGGCUAACUACGUG
rnacentral:rRNA from 1 species